GCCUUCGUGGUGUAGUGGUCAGCACGCUCGACGCGUAUUCGAGAGGUCCGUGGUUCGAGUCCCGACGAAGGCG
rnacentral:tRNA from 1 species